rnacentral:rRNA from 1 species
UACGAAGGGGGGCUAGCGUUGCUCGGAAUCACUGGGCGUAAAGGGCGCGUAGGCGGAUCUUUAAGUCGGGGGUGAAAGCCUGUGGCUCAACCACAGAAUUGCCUUCGAUACUGGGGAUCUCGAGACCGGAAGAGGUGAGUGGAACUGCGAGUGUAGAGGUGAAAUUCGUAGAUAUUCGCAAGAACACCAGUGGCGAAGGCGGCUCACUGGUCCGGUUCUGACGCUGAGGCGCGAAAGCGUGGGGAGCAAACAGG